GACGAACGCUGGCGGCGUGCCUAAUACAUGCAAGUAGAACGAGUGGCGGACGGGUGUGUAAUGUCUGGGAAACUGCCCGAUGGAGGGGGAUAACUACUGGAAACGGUAGCUAAUACCGCAUACCAUCGUAUGUGCCCAGAUGGGAGUAGCUAGUAGGGGGGGUAACGUCUCACCUAGGCUACGAUCCCUAGCUGGUCUGAGAGGAUGACCAGCCACACUGGAGCGGAGGCGAGGUCCAGACUCCUACGGGAGGCAGCAGUGGGGAAUGUUGGACAAUGGGGGAAGCCCUGGUCCAGCCGUCCCGCGUGUGCGAUGAAGGCCGUGGGGUUGUAAAGCACUUUUGGCAGGAAAGCGGUACCUGCAGAAUAAGCACCGGCUAACUACGUGCCAGCAGCCGCGGUAAUUC
rnacentral:rRNA from 1 species